rnacentral:rRNA from 1 species
ACCCGCUGAAUUUAAGCAUAUCACUAAGCGGAGGAAAAGAAACUAACCAGGAUUCCCUCAGUAACGGCGAGUGAAGAGGGAAGAGCCCAGCACCGAAGCCUGCGGCAGAUUUGCUGUUAGGCAAUGUGGUGUUCGGGUCGGCUCGUGGGACCGCCACUCCAUCCGAAGUCCAGCAUUGAGUAUGGUUUACUGGAUAUGGCCCAGAGAGGGUGAAAGGCCCGUGCGGGUGGAGGUUCAGAAAUGUCAGGUGGUUCACCAGGCCGGCCUUAGAGUCGGGUUGUUUGGGAAUGCAGCCCAAAGCGGGUGGUAAACUCCAUCCAAGGCUAAAUACUAGCACGAGUCCGAUAGCGAACAAGUACCGUGAGGGAAAGUUGAAAAGUACUCUGAAGAGAGAGUAAACAGUACGUGAAACCGCAUGCAGGUAAACGGGUGGCGUCAAGCUGCAGGCCCGGAGAAUUCAGUCGCCUAGGGUGUCGGUGUAUGUGCCUGGCGCAUCCAUCAGUCGGAAUGAGAUUGAGUGGUCCACUGGCUAACGGUGGGUCCGGUCGUAAGACUGGAAUGUGUGUACCGGAUGGGUGCCGGAGCAUGCCACUCGUCUAAGGACUGUCUAGGCGGUGCACUUUCUCCGUGGUCGACACCACGACCGGUGGAAUUGCCAGUCUGCUGUGUCCAAGUCGUGCGUGAUGAGCCUCCUCCUCCUGCACCGCGCCAUUGUGUGUGUGUGCAUGUGCGUGGCUCACUGCGUACGAUCACAGGCAAACCCAGUGAACGGCGUGAAUGUGCCUCGGUGUGUUCACGUGCUAUCGGCUACUGAUUGCCGCCAACAGGCCUGCCCGAAUGUCAUUGUGACUGACUUCGCGGUUGUGCUCCUGGUGGGACAUGGUGGUAUGAACAACUGUGCAAGGCACCGGAGUUCUCGGCCUCAAAUGUGUCCAACACUCACAUGUCGCAGUUUGUGACCAAGCGGCGGUGUCGUCGUCUUCUGCCCGUAGUCGACUGUGUGAUCGGCGUGUCGCCCGCGCAAAGUGGGCCCGCCGGUGGCUUGACUCGGGACCGGGAGGCUGGCGGGAUUGUCGGUGUUGUAUUUGACACCGUGGGCCCAACAGUCUGUGGUGCAGUGGUAGACGAGCUACCCGACCCGUCUUGAAACACGGACCAAGGAGUUUAACAUGUAUGCGAGUCAAUGGGCUGUACGAAACCCAAAGGCGCAGUGAAAGUGAAGCUCCGUGGGGGGUGCUGCAGCUGCUUUUGCAGCUACUGCCACCUACUGUGGAGUGAGGUGAGAUCCUGCUGUUACUCGCACCAGCCUAAUGCCAGCAUCAGGCUCAGAGCGGCAGGCGCAUCACCGGCCCGUCCCAUGAUGUGGUCAUUGGGCGUCGUCGUCGUCGUCRUCGUCGUCGUCGUCGUCGUCUCCAGUGCGUCAUCGGGGCGGUGCACGAGCAUACACGUUGAGACCCGAAAGAUGGUGAACUAUGCUUGCGUAGGUUGAAGCCAGAGGAAACUCUGGUGGAGGACCGCAGCGAUUCUGACGUGCAAAUCGAUCGUCAAACGUGAGCAUAGGGGCGAAAGACUAAUCGAACCAUCUAGUAGCUGGUUCCCUCCGGAAGUUUCCCUCAGGAUAGC